AGCGAACGCUGGCGGCAGGCCUAACACAUGCAAGUCGAACGCACCUUCGGGUGAGUGGCGGACGGGUGAGUAACACGUGGGAACGUACCUUUUGGUUCGGAAUAACCCAGGGAAACUUGGGCUAAUACCGGAUACGUCCGUAAGGAGAAAGAUUUAUUGCCGAAGGAUCGGCCCGCGCCCGAUUAGCUAGUUGGUGAGGU
rnacentral:rRNA from 1 species